rnacentral:rRNA from 1 species
UACGUAGGGCGCAAGCGUUGUCCGGAAUUAUUGGGCGUAAAGAGCUCGUAGGCGGCCAGUUGCGUCCGCUGUGAAAUCCCGGGGCUUAACCCCGGGCGUGCAGUGGAUACGGGCUGGCUAGAGGCAGGCAGGGGAGAACGGAAUUCCCGGUGUAGCGGUGAAAUGCGCAGAUAUCAGGAGGAACACCGGUGGCGAAGGCGGGUCUCUGGGCCGUAACUGACGCUGAGGAGCGAAAGCGUGGGGAGCGAACAGG